rnacentral:ncRNA from 1 species
GUNNNGUUUUAUUCUNGCUUGAUCUUCUCUUUUUGGUUUUUUAUACAUGCAUUUUUUGGAUUAAGUUAAAUUAUGGAUGUUCUGGUAGUUAUUUAUUAAGGUGCAGUGUUUGGUUUUAUAGAUUUAGUUAAGGCUUGAUAUAGGUAAAUGAUGAAGUUUCGGUUAAAUUCGUGCCAGCUGCCGCGGUUAGACGGUGGAGGCGAAGGGAAGAAAAAUGUUAAGUAUUAUAGUUAUAUUGGUUUGGUAUAAGGAGGAUUAGUGAAGAAUGAGUAUGGGUGAAAUUUUAUUGUUGUUUGAGGGCCUUUAUCGGUGAAGCUAUGAAAGUAUUAUUAUAGACUAGGAUUAGAUACCCUAUUAUUAAUAUUGUUAAGUGAAGUAUGUUAGGGUAGUAGUAGAUAAGUGCUUGAAACCCAAAGAAUUUGGCGGUAUUUUAGUCUAUUCAGAGGAACCUGUCCCGUAAUCGAUAGUCCACGUUAUAAUCUUACUURUUAUUGUAKUUCAGUUUGUAUACCGCCGUCUUUGGAAAGAUUUGGAGAURAUUUUCAUUAUUUUUAWUKRAAKAAAUAUCAGGUCAAGGUGCAGCUAAUUAAUAAGRGGAGAUGGGUUACAAUAAUUUGUUUAUUAUGGAUUAUUUGUUGAAAUAYAUUYUGAAGGUGGAUUUGAAUGUAAUUAUUAUAAUAAUGUAAUUUUGAGUUUAGCUCUAAAGUAUGCACACAUCGCCCGUCGCUCUCAUUUUARUUGAGAUAAGUCGUAACAUAGUAGGUGUAUUGGAAAAUGUACCUAGRUUGAA